ACUCCUACGGGAGGCAGCAGUGGGAAUAUUGCACAAUGGGCGCAAGCCUGAUGCAGCGACGCCGCGUGAGGGAUGACGGCCUUCGGGUUGUAAACCUCUUUCAGUAGGGAAGAAGCGAAAGUGACGGUACCUGCAGAAGAAGCACCGGCUAACUACGUGCCAGCAGCCGCGGUAAUACGUAGGGUGCGAGCGUUAUCCGGAAUUACUGGGCGUAAAGCGUGCGCAGGCGGUUUGUUAAGCGAGAUGUGAAAGCCCGGCUCAACCUGGGAAUUGCAUUUCGAACUGGCAAGCUAGAGUCUUGUAGAGGGGGUGAGAAUUUCAGGUGUAGCGGUGAAAUGCGUAGAGAUCUGAAGGAAUACCGGUGGCGAAGGCGGCCCCUGCNGCAAGAACUGACGCUCAUGCACGAAAGCGUGGGGAGCAAACAGGAUUAGAUACCCUGGUAGGCUCUGC
rnacentral:rRNA from 1 species